GAUGAACGCUGGCGGCGUGCUUAACACAUGCAAGUCGAACGAAGCAUUUAGGACAGAUUACUUCGGUUUGAAGUUCUUUAUGACUGAGUGGCGGACGGGUGAGUAACGCGUGGGUAACCUGCCUUGUACUGGGGGAUAGCAGCUGGAAACGGCUGGUAAUACCGCAUAAGCGCACAAUGUUGCAUGACAUGGUGUGAAAAACUCCGGUGGUAUAAGAUGGACCCGCGUCUGAUUAGCUAGUUGGUGAGAUAACAGCCCACCAAGGCGACGAUCAGUAGCCGACCUGAGAGGGUGACCGGCCACAUUGGGACUGAGACACGGCCCAGACUCCUACGGGAGGCAGCAGUGGGGAAUAUUGCACAAUGGAGGAAACUCUGAUGCAGCGACGCCGCGUGAGUGAAGAAGUAAUUCGUUAUGUAAAGCUCUAUCAGCAGGGAAGAUAGUGACGGUACAUGACUAAGAAGCUCCGGCUAAAUACGU
rnacentral:rRNA from 1 species